GUACUACCAGUUAAGCUGGUCAGGUUCUUCAUGAGAUCCCAGAGUGCAGUGGCUCCAAGGUGCUGCCCCUUCUUGUUGUGUGGGCAGCCUGUUGCUGUAUGUGUUGUCCCAAGGAACCCUGGGGACAGUC